GGUUUCUCAGGAGUCUUCAGCAACAAGUUGAAGAUCCAGUUAUCUGAAGACAGUCCUUUCCUCCAUUUGUGCUCAAGACCAACAGUCCUACGAGGAAGCAAAACACAAAAAUGAAAAGGAGGAAGCUUGGUGAAAGUUCAACAAAGGGACGGAGACAAGACUACAUUUGCAUAAACCAAUCCAAUGCAGCCUCUUUUCUUUCCUUUGCCUUCACAUUUCAUCUCAUGUAUCACUGCCUGAGAUCAACUUUGCACCUCUUUCCAUUCAGAGACUUAAAGUUUUCAGAUUUUUUUUUCUUUUUUUGAAAUCUAACAAACGCUGACUUUCAACCCAACCCUGAACGAGAUGACUCAGGACUCCUUGCUGGCCAGACACAGACGCUUCCUGCUGAGCGCUCAGCAAGGAUCUACACUAACCUUUAAUCUGCACACCAGAAGAGCCUGAAUCUGCUCCAGAACUCAUUUCAAUAAAACUAUUUUUCAUCUCA